GCUGAUAUAUUGGACAUAUCCUGAAGUAUCAAACAAAAUUCUUUAUUUCUUUGUCUUCUAGACAAACCACCACAGAGCUGCAGACCAGCAAUGAAGAGAGCUGAGGGCAAUUUGACCAACAUCAUCUAUGUCAGUUCCCCAGAAGUCGAUGAAACACGUAGUCGAGUCUCCAAGACCACAAGCCUCAGAAGAUCACUGUGGAACAAAGACCCUGGGCCAACCCAUCCUGUUGAUAUGACACAAAGUACAGCCCAGUUUGGUAUUCUUUCCACUCUGAAGGAGUCUCACAUCAGCACAGCAACCAUAUCUUCAAUUUGGGUCAGGCCAUCAAGAGGAAAAGGACGGAAGACUGAAGAUGAGAUGCUCUACUUCACACAGUUGCCCUCUGGAAGGACUUGCAAAGGCAGUCACUUAAAUUAAGUACAGGUCAUCAGAGAAGAUAUCUAAUCUAUUCCUAAGACAGGCAGCUCUAGCAGCCCAAAUCCCUAUGGCCUUUGCAGCGACACGAUGAACUACUUCCUCAUGUUCCUCUGUCAAUUCAUGUUAGGUCCCAGUCUUUUUAAAGUGAUAUUUCAUGUACAUCAUGACCCUAUUGCUCAAAGCAAGGAAAGUGCUUUGGUUUAUUUAUGACCUACUAACCUUAAAUAAAUAAAAAAAACCAUCCAAUCUGAAUGUUCACAUAAGCCUGCAGAUCUGAAAUAAAAUUUAAAAUAAAGCUGGCAUUUGUAACAGCUAGCUAAGCCUGGUAAGGGAUUUAAAAAAAAAAAAAAUUAAAACCAGAUGAAAGAAGAUGAAAGCAUAUUUACCCUGCAUAACCUUCACACAUCAGGAACCAGAGCUGGAACCCAGAAAUACCUUUGUACUUCGAAGUUUCAGCCCAUUUCAGAGACAAGGUGAGCAAGGAAAUACUGAGGUUUUCCAUGAUGGGGGGAUGGGGAGGCAAUAAAAGCAACCUGUGAAAGUAAUUCCUUCUAAGAUGCAAUCUACCCAGCCACUAGCUCUACACAUCUCCUUCUCCUUCACCCCAUCCCAAUUGUCAGAUAUCAGCCAGGCAAGCCCCCAUACUGACAUAUGAAGUGACAGAUGGAAGCAGGCAAUAAGGGCAUAGGAAUGAGUACUGAAAGAAAUUACAUACAGAAAACAAGCUAAUAAUGGGGCAGAUCUUAAACAUGAGCAACCCUAAACCAUAAAGUUAAUUCAUUUGGCUAGAACAAUGUUGAACAGAUGCACAUGCACAUCAGACUGAGUUGGAGAGCCUUAUUCUCUCAUCACUCAUGCCAAUGUGUAGAGGUCUUCUCCUAACAUCCAUGGAAUUAAACCUUUGAAAUUUCAGUGCAAAUAAAUGGUGAAAUAAAAAUAAUCUAAGCUAAAGUACUGGCAGCAAAUAUCCUGUGCUGCUGUAUUGGGAAAGAAAGGUGGGCUGCCAGAUUUAAUUAAAAUCUGUUUAAUUUAGCUAUAGUCAUCAUCACAGUGGCCUUCAUAAAUAAAACACAUCUAAUCUACCAUAAAGAAGAAAAUUAGUUGAUUCUAUUCUUGUCUAGUUCUCCAGUCGGCUAUAUUAAUGACUUGAUUUUAGUUAAAUUAGAUGGAAAAUACAGUUGAGUUAAACUAUGUAAUAAAUACCUCUAUAGGCAGAGCAACUAGUUGAAAGAAAGUUAGGACAAACUUGUCCUAGUAUUUGUUUACAAAAUAGGCUCAGGCAGCACACUGAUGUACUCAGGGUUCCCUUACCACAAGUAUAGACAAAACCCCAAACACUUAUUAAGUCUUACACAUAACAACAGAUGGAUGAGAGAGAGGGCAUCUUUAAGCAAAGGAUAAGGUAAACAAACAGCAAUUCAUACAAGUCAAUGAAUCAGUCACUUAAUUUCAGCACAGUUAAGAGCUGACCUAGCAGAAAAGAAUUCUGACAAGCUGAGCUUCAAGAACACCUGCAUAAGAACGCUGCUCACAAAUGAAAAUAAGGUAAAAUUUCUGGAUUACCAUGUUUUGCCUUCUUAUCCAGCCUCUAAAAUCCUUCUACAACACAAAAACUGC
rnacentral:lncRNA from 12 species